ACCCCUAAAUAUUUCACAAAAUGACAACGUUUAUCCCUCUAUAAUCUCGCGACCUUCACACUCUCUGACCUUCACUCUCACAGACUGCUCUUCUCACUGUUCUUCUUCUUCCUCCCCCUGCAUCUCAAAAUUCCAUCUCAAUUAAGGAAGUUAAUUGCUAACAACAAUCAGCUACUCAUCAUAAGGAUGGGAAAGAAUGUGGGAAGUUCAUCAAAAGCUCCAGCUACAUGGAAUAACCACAAUGACACUUCAUAAUUAUAUAAGGAGGCAUGCCCAACGUGAUAGACAUUUUGAUGCUUCAAAUGAUAUCUUAAGUGAAGAGAUAGGUGAGGAUGUUGAUGUGCAACAAGAACUUCAUAGUCUUCAUGACAAUGGAACACAAGAGAUGGAAGCAUUGAGAAAUAGCAUCGCUACAAAUUUAAUGAAUGCAUCUAAUUAGCUUUUUUUUAUAUUGUAGUGAUCUAUUUGGGCAUGUUAAAAUUGAACAAUUUUUGUAUAUUUGUUAUGCUAA